rnacentral:rRNA from 1 species
GUCAGCGGCGGACGGGUGAGUAACACGUGGGCAACCUGCCUGUAAGACUGGGAUAACUCCGGGAAACCGGGGCUAAUACCGGAUAAUUCUUUCCCUCACAUGAGGGAAAGCUGAAAGAUGGUUUCGGCUAUCACUUACAGAUGGGCCCGCGGCGCAUUAGCUAGUUGGUGAGGUAACGGCUCACCAAGGCAACGAUGCGUAGCCGACCUGAGAGGGUGAUCGGCCACACUGGGACUGAGACACGGCCCAGACUCCUACGGGAGGCAGCAGUAGGGAAUCUUCCGCAAUGGACGAAAGUCUGACGGAGCAACGCCGCGUGAGUGAUGAAGGUUUUCGGAUCGUAAAACUCUGUUGUUAGGGAAGAACAAGUACCGGAGUAACUGCCGGUACCUUGACGGUACCUAACCAGAAAGCCACGGCUAACUACGUGCCAGCAGCCGCGGUAAUACGUAGGUGGCAAGCGUUGUCCGGAAUUAUUGGGCGUAAAGCGCGCGCAGGCGGUUCCUUAAGUCUGAUGUGAAAGCCCCCGGCUCAACCGGGGAGGGUCAUUGGAAACUGGGGAACUUGAGUGCAGAANAAANGAGUGGAAUUCCACGUGUAGCGGUGAAAUGCGUAGAGAUGUGGAGGAACACCAGUGGCGAAGGCGACUCUUUGGUCUGUAACUGACGCUAAGGCGCGAAAGCGUGGGGAGCAAACAGGAUU